UACGGAUAAUGAGAUUUAUUAGCUUGUUUUUUUUAAAAAAAAAAAAAAAAAAAAAAAAAAAAAAAACCACAUAAGAAACAGCACAUCUCUUUCAUUAUAUUUUAUUUGAAGCUGGUCAUAUCAACGUGUCGCAGGACGGACUUUCCCCUUUAAAUUAAAUUCACAAUUUAUUCAGAACUCAUGCAAGGUAUUAAAAAAAUAAUAUCCUACACAUUCUCACAAAGCUUCAUGGGAAAAAAAAAAAAAAAAAAACCCCCGUGAGGAAGCGAGAAACGUCUGACGCCUCAGUCAGAAUCAGUGUGUUUACCCUUUAAGCCUAAUUCUCUGGAAACCCUGUAUAAUCCACACACUGACUUACAGUACAGAAGUGAACAUCUGACCAUAAAGCACAGGCGUGUGAAUGACGGCGUUCUGCUGGACAGCGGUGGUGUUUGAAGGGAAAACGGUGGUGAUAGCUGGCUUUUUAUAAAGAAGGGUUUUGUUUUUUAUUGGUGGCAUUUUCAUAGAAAACUGUAGAAGGUAUAUAGAGGUGUAGAAGGUGUAUAAAGAUGGAGAAGGUGUAUAGAGGAGAAGGUGUACAGAGGUGUAGAAGGGGUACAGAGGUGUAGAAGGUGUAUAAAGAUGGAGAAGGUGUAUAGAGGUGUAGAAGGUGUAUAGAGGUGGAGAAGGUAUACAGAGGUGGAGAAGGUAUAGAAGGGGUACAGAGGUGGAGAAGGUGUAUAGAGGAGGAGGUGUAUAGAGGAGGAGGUGUAUAGAGGAGAAGAAGGUGUAUAGAGGAGGAGGUGUAUAGAGGAGAAGGUGUAUAGAGGAGGAGGUGUAUAGAGGAGGAGGUGUAUAGAGGAGGAGGUGUAUAGAGGAGAAGGUGUAUAGAGGAGGAGGUGUAUAGAGGAGGAGGUGUAUAGAGGAGGAGGUGUAUAGAGGAGGAGGUGUAUAGAGGUGGAGAAGGUAUAGACCAUGUAGAAGGUGUUUUGAUGGAGAAUGUUGCUGCUUGACGGUACAUGUCGGGGUAUUAUAGUGUUCUAAUGAAGAACAUUGGUUUUUCAUGAGGUUUUCAUGCUUGUUUUUGGUGAUCGAGGGUAUUUUAGUGGGUGUUUUAGAGGAAAAUGUCGGUGUUGGCCGUUUUUUAAAGAAUCUUAGUUUUAUCGUGUCAUUUUCCUGGAGAAUGCUGGUGCUUAAAGGCUUUUUAAAUGAAAACGCUGCUGCUAGUACGCCGUUUGUAAUGAUUUUGGUGAUAUUUUCAUUGGGGGCGUUGGUGUUUCCUGAACUUUCAUACCGAAUGUUGCCGUUUCGUAGUAUUUUCACGGCCGUUGUUGGUGUCUGAUGUUGGUUUAAUGGAGAAAGUCGGUGUUAAUAUGCCUUUUAUAAGAAUGUGGGUUUUUGGUGGUAUUUCCAUGGCGAUUGUUGGUGUUUUAAUGAAAGCGCUGGUGUUACUGAGUCUUUCUAUAAAGAAUGUUGAUCUCUGGUGACAUCUUCAGGGAGAACGUUGGCGUGUCGUUAUGUUUUAAUGGAGAAUGUCGGUAUUUGAAGGUGCUUUAAUGAAAAACGUCAGUGCGAGUAGGUCUUUUUCGUAAAUUGUAUUGUAUUUUCAUUGGAAUCGUUGGUGUAUCGAUGGCCUUCAGUGGAGAACGUUGGGGCUUGAAGCGAUUUUAACGAAGAAUGUUGUAGCUUUCAGAAAGAAUUAUGGUUUGUGGUGGUAUUUUGAAGGACGACGCAGGUGUCUGUCGGCCAUUUUAACUGUAAACGUUGGCGUUUGAUAUAGUUUUACUGGAGACUGUUGGUGUUUGAAGGUGUGCAGAUGAAAAAAACGUAGCUGGGCUUUGUUAAAGGAUUGGUCAGCGCCGGGUUUUAAAACGCGACCGAGAUUUCAGACCGUGAAACUACGGAAGUCAGUUUGACCUCAGAGUAUUUUUAUUUAGCUUUAACGUGCGCAGAGAUCCCAGUUUCCAAAAACGCUAAUCUGAUUGGAGAGUGUGAGAACAGCAGAGUUUCCGGCAACUAGCUUCUCCAACCGGCAAACGUCUGAGAAGACGACCUAGAACAAAAUAAAAUUAACAAAACAAAAGAAAUAUAAAUUUUCGCUUCUCCACGCAUGCAUUACUCUAUGACUCUAAAGACAUCAAGAGUCGACACAUGAGAAUCCCCGAGGAAUCUAGCCACAAGUAAAUGCUAUAAAUUAGCACAAAGCCCAAAGACGGCUGAAAAGGACAGGGGGGGGGGGGGAGAAAAAAAAAAUACGCGUGGCAUUCUUUUGGUAGAUUUCUUUUUUAAUUUUCUCUUUGCAUUUAAAAGUACGUUUCAUCACUCUGAGCAAAACCGCGUGUCCGAUACGAAUAUAUCAUCAGUGUUGACUGGAAUGCUGACUUACUGAUUGGUAUUCGUAUUCCCGAAGCCCCCGAAACCUUUAAAAAACAAAAAGGAGAAAAAAACACAACAAAUAAGCAAUACAUUUUAACUUGACAUCACGUGCAAAACGAGUAAGCGUGCACACACACACACACACUUGUGUAUUCAACAAAACAAAAGCUGAUUUAAAAAAAAAAAAGAAAAAAAAAAGAAGAAACAAACCCCGAAAAACCCUCCUGUCCCACCAGUGAGCGGUGACACGGUAAUUAAUUACAGUGUACACGGUUAAAUUACCGACGUGUCCCACAUUCACUCUGCCUCGACAUCACACGCUAAAGCUCGAGCGAGCGGCAGGGUUUGUCGGAAAAGCUCGUGUUGUAGCAGCGUGUAAUUACUGUAAAGUUUCUACGAUGUUCUCCCGGUCUCGUCGGCCACGUCUCUUCUUUCACAGAAGCCACGGGGACAUUAGGCUCGGUGUUCCGUUUGAGUUUUUGACGACGUCCUGAUGGAGAAUUCUGGUGUUUGUCGGACUCCAACGGUGAGCAACCGCAUGGAGUGGUGUUUAGAAAGAACGGAUAUGUUGGUGCCACACGGUGUCCUUAUGACAGAGUGAGUGAUGGGCUUCGUUGGCGUGUCGAUGGACUUUUAAUGAAAGCCGCCGGUGUUGGUUGGAGUCGUGACUGAGAACGACGGCGUUUGGAUGGAGAACACGGAUUUUUGCUGGCCUUCAAUCGUGGAUAUCAGGGUCUGAAGGGGUUUUGAUGGACAAUGUUGGUGUUUGAUGGGGCAUUAAUGAAAAACGUCACUCACGGGUGGUUCUUCGUGUUCUGAUGGAAAAUGUGCCAUUUGUCAGCCUUCGAUAGAGAAGACUGGAGUCUGAUGGUGUUACUGGAGACGACGGUCAUGUUUCAUGGUGUUUUAUGGUAAAUCAUGGUGUUCGUUAGUGCUUUAAUGGGGGGGGGGCAUCAUUAUUGGUCAAUACUGGUCAAUGUUGCAGUUUGAUGGUGUUGUGAUGGAGAAUACUGGCCACUGACGGUUUUUCUGAUCGAGAAUGUUGAUACCUGAUAGUGUUGUGAUGGAUAACGCUGGUGUUUCGUGAUGAAUUCUGGUGUUUGACGGAUGAAAUAAUAAUGAAAAAAAUCUUUAAACGUUCAAAUGUUGGUGUUUACAGGCGGUCAAGAGUGAAUACUGGUAUCUAAUGAUCUUUUAAGGUGAAUUUUUUUUUUAAAUUGCCAUUUAAAAAAAAAAAGGUGUCUAAUGAAAACUGUUUUUUGUUGGUUGUUGUUGGUCAGUGCUUCGGUGGUCAACACGGUCAUUCUGUGGCGUUUUACUGAUAAGUGUUGGUGUUUAAAGCUGUUUUGGUAGAGAAAACGUUUUGGAUGGAAAGUGUUGGAUAGUGUUUUGGAGGUUAGUGUUGUGUUUGUUGGCCUUGAAUGGUGAAUGUUGGUGUUUUGUUGACGUUUCAUGACGAAUGUUAGUGUUGGAUGGUGUUUUAUCGCUCCUUGAUGAUGAUGAUGAUGAUGAUGGCAUCCUAGUGUUUUGAUGGAGAAUGUUGGUGUUUUAAAUGAAAAGAAUGCUCCCUGUUGGUUGCUGGUGGUCAGUGUUGGCGUUUGAUGGCGUCUUGAUGGAAAAUGUUGGUGUUUGUUGGUGAAGGUUGGAUUGAUGUGCACUGAGCUUAAUGAAACCCAACCCAGUGCACUAAUAAGCAAACUGCUGUCUAGAACACUAAUGCGAGGGUCAGAGAUUUGUAUAUACAGCUUCUAUCCUUUAUAUUUUUAUCUAUAAACGGGCCACUUCAUCCUGGCGAUUUAGUCUGGAAGAUUUACAGCUUGGAGGAAUGUUGGUUAAUAAGGAAGCUUACAACUCUCUCAUAGCCAAACGACACAAACCGCGGCAUGAGGGACAGAGAGCUUCUUCUCGUGAUAUUUAUUUCAAACUCAUGGAGAAAAACAUUGAGGGUUGAUGAGCUUUUAUCUGAGCGAUCGGGCCGUUCCUCUGGCACGGCUUUCCGCUUCAUUCCCCCCAUUAUAAUAAUGAACAACAGGGAGGCGUCAAAUGUUGAGGCUCAGACAAAUGAAUCUAUAAAAUCGUCUGCAUUAGCAUUAAUGUCUGUACCGCUGCUUGAAAAGAAGCGCAGGCUCUCAAAGUGAAGGAAGAACGAUAACGGCUCCGUGACUGGGAAAGAGGCGUUUAAUAGAGGCCGAGAGAACAUCUCUCAGACUCGUGUUGCAUGCUAAAUGUGUAAACGUUCGGCCGGCAGGUCGGGGUUAAAUCCGUCGACGUUAGAAUGACUGCUGGGUGUGAAACAGGUGGCGUGUUGGUGCGAACUCACCUCCGGAAGAACCGAAGCCUGAGAACCCGCCGGUCUGACCUCCGAAUCCCGGGCCCUGCUGAGCCAGAUUACCGAAAGUCGGCGUGCUGUUCUGAGUCGCCAGACUGCCGAAGGUGGGGCCACUGGGGGGGACGCAAAGCUGGAAAUGUGGAGGAAAAAAAAUUUUACAAAAGGGGGAAGGAAAGAAAGAAAGAAGUUAACGUACUACGAAAAAGUCAACAAGAGCAAUUUCUAAAUACUGUAUUUAUUACUAUUUAAAAGAAAUAAUAAAAAAAAAUGAUGGAAAAAAAAACAAAACAGGGAAACAGACUUGAAAAUAGCAAAAUAAAAAUAAAAACAAAUACAGAUAAAAUAAUAUAAUGCGAUAAAACUCUCCCACCUGCAUUGUGUAGAAUAUUUACAAUAUCAUGUCUUUAAUCGUCAUGGUUAUUAGAACAAAAUCUAAAUUUCGACACCUUUUUCCAUUUCACCGACUUCCCUAGCGUCAGUAGUGUUAUUCAGCAUUAAUCUGGCAUUUUUAUCCAAGUUAUGAAGAGCUUUGGAGUCAGAAAAUGGAGGAAAUUGUCAUUUAAGGGUGACGAUAUGACCUUUGGGUGCGCAAAGACUUUUAUUCAUUUAUUAUUUUAGGCCAAAGUAUCAUUUGGUCCAAAUUUUUUAUUAUUAAAUCUAAACCUACUCUUCCUUCUAACGCAUACUAAAGCGUCCUGAUGUUUUAUAUUUUAUAUGUAUUAUACACACACACACACACCAUGCAGGUGAUGGGCGUUGUACUUGCGUUGGACAGAAAUACCCGUGACCUCUGCCCCCGAUAUAAGAGCCAAUAUUUGGCAGCUGAGCUUGAAAGCGUCUGAGACGAGGCAUGAAGGUGUUUAAUAUAAACAUGAGCGGCUUUAACGAGUGGAAAAUGUUAGAAGCCAGUCCAGGAACGAGAGAGAGAGAGAGAGAGAGAACAACACAGGAACAAUGUAGAAUAAAUACGUAAAAUGGAGUGUCUGUGUCCAAAGCAAAAACACACUCAAGUGACCAAACGUCUGAAAAAAAAAAACGUUAUAUAGAGAAAUAAAGCCGUUCCCGACGUCUUGCCCAC
ensembl:lncRNA